rnacentral:lncRNA from 1 species
CCCUUCUGCGUGCACGAUGUCUGCGUGCUAAAUGGCAACUCCAAAAUCCGAGCUCCAGUUCGUCCAUGGGUUGUAUAGCCUACUGAGGUACACUGCGCGUUUUUUAAAGUACAGACGUACUGGUGUUGAAAUGCGCACGUGACUCGUGGACUGCUUUUGUACCUCAUCUAACCUCAUCUAACGUACUGUCAAGUGAUGGCAUAUCAGGCAUGUCAAUGAGAACGUCACUCAAAAGGUGUCCGGACACCUUGCCCACGCAGGACCAUGUCAAGGAAAGUGUCUUUUCGUGGGAGGGUGCUGAGAUGUUGGUUCUGGGCAUUCCAUACUCACGCCCGGCAGACGGACAAUCUGCUUUGCACCUAGACUAUUGCUUAAACGUCAUCGCGUGAUCCGUACUCACUACUAACUUAUUGUG